rnacentral:rRNA from 1 species
AUGCACGCUGGCGGCGUGCUUAACCCCUGCCAGUCGCACGAAGCACUUUAUUUGAUUUCCUUCGGGACUGAUUAUUUUGUGACUGAGUGGCGGACGGGUGAGUAACGCGUGGGUAACCUGCCUUGUACAGGGGGAUAACAGUUGGAAACGGCUGCUAAUACCGCAUAAGCGCACAGCAUCGCAUGAUGCAGUGUGAAAAACUCCGGUGGUAUAAGAUGGACCCGCGUUGGAUUAGCUAGUUGGUGAGGUAACGGCCCACCAAGGCGACGAUCCAUAGCCGACCUGAGAGGGUGACCGGCCACAUUGGGACUGAGACACGGCCCAAACUCCUACGGGAGGCAGCAGUGGGGAAUAUUGCACAAUGGGCGAAAGCCUGAUGCAGCGACGCCGCGUGAGCGAAGAAGUAUUUCGGUAUGUAAAGCUCUAUCAGCAGGGAAGAUAAUGACGGUACCUGACUAAGAAGCACCGGCUAAAUACGUG